GACGAACGCUGGCGGCGUGCUUAACACAUGCAAGUCGAACGGAAAGGCCCCUUUGGGGGUACUCGAGUGGCGAACGGGUGAGUAACACGUGAGUAACCUGCCCUUGACUUCGGGAUAACUUCAGGAAACUGGGGCUAAUACCGGAUAGGAAUCCUUGCUGCAUGGUGGGGGUUGGAAAGCUUCGGCGGUUUUGGAUGGACUCGCGGCUUAUCAGCUUGUUGGUGGGGUAGUGGCUUACCAAGGCUUUGACGGGUAGCCGGCCUGAGAGGGCGACCGGCCACAUUGGGACUGAGAUACGGCCCAGACUCCUACGGGAGGCAGCAGUGGGGAAUAUUGCACAAUGGGCGGAAGCCUGAUGCAGCAACGCCGCGGGCGGGAUGACGGCCGUCGGGUUGUAAACCGCUUUCAGCAGGGGCGAAGCUUGUGGUGACGGUACCUGCAGAAGAAGCACCGGCUAACUACGUG
rnacentral:rRNA from 1 species